ACUCGGGAGCCCGGGACGGACGCGCACGGCUGCGGAGCGCCUUCCUGCAGGUCGGGGCCGUGGGGGGUCUGACGGCAGACUGCUGGCUACGGCACGUGACCGGCGCUGCGAGGGAAUCGAGGUUCCGCGUUCGGGAAGAGUCUGCGGAGCUCGGGUUGCGUGACCCGUUUCGGUUCUCGGCGGACACAACAUCUUUGUUGGUAUGUGGUGCUGAGGAUCGAACCCCGGCCGCACGCAUGCCAGAUCUUCACAGGAACAGUAGAAAAGUGAUACUGUUGUUAUUGAGGCCUGCAUUUUAUAAAUGAAGAGACUACAGGAGACCUGAGUGACUUGCCAAGGUCACCUGCCAAUGAGGAAUGCUGCCAGGAUUUGAACCCAGACAUCCAGGUGCAGAGAUUACCCCAUGCCAUCAUGUCUCUUAGGAAAUGCUCUGGAAAUGCUGCUGUCAUGAAUGAGGCAGGUCAAUGCCUGGUGCACAGAGUAAAUGAAAAUACUCCAAAAGCUGUGGACCUGCGAUGGUCGUCCCAUCUCUCCAGCUCUUCCACUCUCACCUUGCUUCCAAUCUGCUGAUUUGAGCUAAGCUUCACAAAGUGUUGUCUCUUGAACACCAAAAGUGCAUAGACAUUGUCUGGAAGGUACAUACGCAGAUAGAUUCACUCAGCACAAAUUUCUCUAGUACCUACUGAGGGCUCAACCUGAGCAGUGGAUAUUGAAAUUCCUGACAGCACCCAUUCAGUGGAGACUCCAUAUUUGUCCCCUGAACUGCUGGCAGCCAUUGGGAAGGGUGCUCAAAAAUAAUCUGCCACUUCUCUUACUACACUUUUCAUCUGUUCAUUCUUCUAACAAAUAAUGUUUAAGGUACUCUAUUCCAUGUAGUGUGUGCUAGGCAACACAGCAUCUAGUAAGACGCAUGACUUCUGGUUACUAGUCUUGAUAUAUAUUCCAGUUGAAUAAGAAACUAAGUGGAUAAAUAGUUCUGGAGAGUGACAAGUACCAAGAGAAAGAGAGGACUGGGGAUGUGGCUCAAGUGGUAGGGCGCUUGUCUAGCAUGUGUGAGGCACAGGGUUUGAUUCUCAGCAUCACAUAAAAAUAAAAUAAAGAUAUUGGGUCCACCUAAAACUAAAAAAUAAAUACUAAAAAAAAAAAAGAGGAAGAAAAACAGGAUGAUAUAACACAGUGACUUGGAGAUUACUGGUGAUAAGAGAAGAAC